UACGAAUGGAGCGAGCGUUGUUCGGAAUCACUGGGCGUAAAGCGUGCGCAGGCGGUCUUGAAAGUCAGGAGUGAAAUCCCAGGGCUUAACCCUGGAAUUGCUCUUGAAACUCCAAGACUGGAGUACUGGAGAGGUUGGCGGAAUUCCGAGUGUAGCAGUGAAAUGCGUAGAUAUUCGGAGGAACACCGAUGGCGUAGGCAGCCAACUGGACAGUUACUGACGCUCAUGCACGAAAGCGUGGGGAGCAAACAGG
rnacentral:misc_RNA from 1 species